AACCGUACUAUCAACGAAUGGGUUUACCCAAAAGAUAACGUGAUUAUUUAUCUAUAUAUAUUUAGGAUGUGGGCAUGGCAUCAUUGUUUCACCUGGGAUAAAGCUCCUAGGUCUGUAUCCUAGGUGAAACAACCACGUCAUCUUACAGGUGAAUCUGUUCGUUGAAUUUAAAAUA
rnacentral:pre_miRNA from 1 species